GCAUCUAAGCGUGAAGCCCCCCUCAAGAUGAGAUUUCCCAGUAUGUAAGACCCCUUGAAGACGACGAGGUAGAUAGGCUGGGGGUGGAAGUGCAGCAAUGCAUGGAGCUGACCAGUACUAAUCGGUCGAGGGCUUAUCCA
rnacentral:rRNA from 2 species